GCACUCUUCGGAGUGAGUGGCAGACGGGUGAGUAACGCGUGGGAAUCUACCCAUCUCUACGGAAUAACGCAUGGAAACGUGUGCUAAUACCGUAUACGCCCUACGGGGGAAAGAUUUAUCGGAGUUGGAUGAGCCCGCGUUGGAUUAGCUUGUUGGUGAGGUAAGAGCUCACCAAGGCGACGAUCCAUAGCUGGUCUGAGAGGAUGAUCAGCCACACUGGGACUGAGACACGGCCCAGACUCCUACGGGAGGCAGCAGUGGGGAAUAUUGGACAAUGGGCGAAAGCCUGAUCCAGCCAUGCCGCGUGAGUGAUGACGGCCCUAGGGUUGUAAAGCUCUUUCACCGGUGAAGAUAAUGACGGUAACCGGAGAAGAAGCCCCGGCUAACUUCGUGCCAGCAGCCGCGGUAAUACGAAGGGGGCUAGCGUUGUUCGGAAUAACUGGGCGUAAAGCGCACGUAGGCGGAUUGUUAAGUGAGGGGUGAAAUCCCAGGGCUCAACCCUGGAACUGCCUUUCAUACUGGCAAUCUUGAGUUCGAGAGAGGUGAGUGGAAUUCCGAGUGUAGAGGUGAAAUUCGUAGAUAUUCGGAGGAACACCAGUGGCGAAGGCGGCUCACUGGCUCGAUACUGACGCUGAGGUGCGAAAGC
rnacentral:rRNA from 1 species